UUUCUCGUGUCUCUUUGUUUCCACUGUGCAUUUAGUAACAGAGACCGGGAGGGUUGGUGGACUCUGUUCCACUGACACACCAGUUCCCUACUACAGAGGCCCUGAUGGGGAGCUUGUUCUUAAAGAUGUGAGGUCCAUCAUUCCACGAGAAUAUUAAACCACUAUCUAUCUCUGUCUCUCUCUCUCUAUCUGUCACGCCUUAGAGAGCCCUUUUAACGUCUCUAUUUUUGGUUUGGUCACGGUGUGAUUUGGGGUGGGCAUUCUAUGUUCCAUUUUCUAUGUUUUUGUAUUUCUUUGUGUUUGGUCGGGUCGGGUUCUCAAUCAGGGACAGCUGUAUAUCGUUGUCUCUGAUUGGGAAUCAUACUUAGGCAGCCCGUUUUCCCUUUGUUAUUUGUGGGAAGUUAUCUUUGUCAUUUGUGGGAAGUUAUCUUUGUCAUUUGUGGGAAGUUAUCUUUGUCAUUUGUGGGAAGUUAUCUUUGUCAUUUGUGGGAAGUUAUCUUUGUUAUUUGUGGGAAGUUAUCUUUGUUAUUUGUGGGAAGUUAUCUUUGUCAUUUGUGGGAAGUUAUCUUUGUUAUUUGUGGGAAGUUAUCUUUGUUAUAGGUGGGAAGUUAUCUUUGUUAUAGGUGGGAAGUUAUCUUUGUUAUUUGUGGGAAGUUAUCUUUGUUAUAGGUGGGAAGUUAUCUUUGUUAUUUGUGGGAAGUUAUCUUUGUUAUAGGUGGGAAGUUAUCUUUGUUAUAGGUGGGAAGUUAUCUUUGUUAUAGGUGGGAAGUUAUCUUUGUUAUUUGUGGGAAGUUAUCUUUGUUAUUUGUGGGAAGUUAUCUUUGUUAUUUGUGGGAAGUUAUCUUUGUUAUAGGUGGGAAGUUAUCUUUGUUAUUUGUGGGAAGUUAUCUUUGUUAUUUGUGGGAAGUUAUCUUUGUUAUAGGUGGGAAGUUAUCUUUGUUAUUUGUGGGAAGUUAUCUUUGUUAUAGGUGGGAAGUUAUCUUUGUUAUUUGUGGGAAGUUAUCUUUGUUAUUUGUGGGAAGUUAUCUUUGUUAUAGGUGGGAAGUUAUCUUUGUUAUAGGUGGGAAGUUAUCUUUGUUAUUUGUGGGAAGUUAUCUUUGUUAUUUGUGGGAAGUUAUCUUUGUUAUUUGUGGGAAGUUAUCUUUGUUAUAGGCUGUUAAGCUUCACAGUCGUUUUUUUUUAUUGUGUAUUGUUUCUGUUGGCGACAUUAAAAAAUGAAGUAAUGUACGCUCACAACCCUGCGCUUUGGUCUUCUUCUUCUGACGGUCGUGACAACCACUCUCUCUGUCUCUCUCUCUGUCUCUCUGUCUCUCUGUCUCUCUCUCUGUCUCUCUCUCUGUCUCUCUGUCUCUCUCUCUGUCUCUCUCUCUGUCUCUCUGUCUCUCUCUCUGUCUCUCUCUCUGUCUCUCUGUCUCUCUGUCUCUCUCUCUCUCUCUGUCUCUCUCUCUGUCUCUGUCUCUCUCUCUGUCUCUGUCUCUCUCUCUGUGUCUCUCUCUGUCUCUCUCUCUGUCCCUCUCUCUCUCUCUCUGUGUCUCUCUGUCUCUCUCUCUCUCUCUCUCUGUGGCUCUCUCUGUCUCUCUCUGUCUCUCUCUCUGUCUCUCUCUGUCUCUCUCUGUCUCUCUCUCUGUCUCUCUCUCUGUCUCUCUGUCUCUCUCUGUCUCUCUCUGUCUCUCUCUGUCUCUCUCUGUCUCUCUCUGUCUCUCUCUGUCUCUCUGUGUCUCUCUCUGUCUCUCUGUCUCUCUCUGUGUCUCUCUCUGUGUCACUCUCUCU